CAGAAUGUUUUGCGAGGAACGCGGGCAGCUGCAGUACAGGAUACCGGAGAAAAGGAUCCUUGAGGAUGCAUAUAAAGUGAGUAGACACCAUGUGUACCCCCCUUGACAUUUUUGUUUGAUUGUGUCCUCUGGAAAGCAAGCUGCAGAUGAUGAAGAAGAAUAAAUAAGAUGGAGGCUGGUGUUCUUAGCAGAAUGUGAUACUAACUCUAACUCCACCUGGCUGUUUUUCCCCCUCAAAAAAAAAAAAUGACGCAGAAGCAUCACAGGUCGGAGGGCGAGCUGAAGAAGGAUGAGUUCGUGGAGAUCAGCAAGGAGGUGCUCAAGAUGGAGAGCUUCACCUUUGGGAAGGCGACGAUGGAAUUCGCCAUGUUCCUGUUCGGCGCCCCGGCGUGCGCGUUCCUGGCGAAGCGGAUCCUGCCUGGGCUGGGGUGGCUGUCGGACGACAUCGUCAUCCCUCUGGCCACCUCCGGUUCCGUCGCCUAC
rnacentral:lncRNA from 1 species